UAACCUACGGGGCGCAGCAGUAGGGAAUUUUCGUCAAUGGGCGCAAGCCUGAACGAGCAAUGCCGCGUGAACGAGGAAGGUCUUCGGAUCGUAAAGUUCUGUUGAAGGGGAAAAAGAGCGGAGAGAGGAAAUGGUCUCCGAUUGAUAUUACCCUUCGAGGAAGUCACGGCUAACUACGUGCCAGCAGCCGCGGUAAUACGUAGGUGGCGAGCGUUGUCCGGAUUUACUGGGUGUAAAGGGCGUGCAGCCGGGCCGACAAGUCAGAUGUGAAAUCCGCGGGCUUAACCUGCGAACUGCAUUUGAAA
rnacentral:rRNA from 1 species